rnacentral:rRNA from 1 species
AUUGAACGCUGGCGGAAGGCCUAACACAUGCAAGUCGAACGAGUGGCGGACGGGUGAGUAAUGUCUGGGAAACUGCCUAAUGGAGGGGGAUAACUACUGGCAACGGUAGAUAAUACCGCAUACCAUCGGAUGGGGCCAGAUGGGAGUAGCUAGUAGGUGGGGUAACGGCUCAACUAGGCGACGAUCCCUAGCUGGUCUGAGAGGAGAACCAGCCACCCUGGAACUGAGACACGGUCCAGACUCUGACGGGAGGCAGCAGUGGGGAAGAUUGGACAAUGGGCGAAAUCCUGAUCCAGCCAUGCCGAGUGUGUGAAGAAGGUCUUCGGAUUGUAAAGCACGUUUAGUUGGGAGGCGUUACCCGCAGAAGAAGCAACGGCUAACUCCGUGCCAGCAGCCGCGGUAAUUC